rnacentral:ncRNA from 1 species
UUCUUCAGGGCAGGGUGUAAUUCCCGACCGGCGGUUAAAGUCCGCGAGCUGUUAUCUGUAUAAUGGCUGAACUUGUGUAAUUCAAGUACCGACAGUAAAGUCUGGAUGAAAGAAGAA